rnacentral:sRNA from 1 species
UAAAUAUAAAUUAGCAUAAAGAACAAUCAAUGUAAUUUUUUUUUAACAAUUUUUAAAACAAACCCACGCGUAGCGUGGGUAGUCAUCUAAUACAAAUAUAAUUUUACCUGAUUUCAUAAUCGCAUAUUGCUGACUUUGGACGUCUUCAGUGAUCACUUUCAUCCUCCUGCUUUUUCGCCUCAGAUCUAGCCGAAUGAUACUGCACAAUAAAUGUGAUCCCUAUGGGAAUCACUACUCUUGAAAUUGCAUACAUCCCGCCAACUCCCGUGAACGUCAUCGUUUUGCUAUAUGAAGAUGGCUCCACUAUCACAACCAAUGCUGACUUAGCUACAAAAAAAGCUUGUUUAAUGCUACUACUUUUCUGUUGUUGAUUAUUGUUUUUUUUAGAUUCCGAGGCAUUACUUGUCAUUUAUGAUUGAGUUUUGAGCAUAUAUAUGUUUACUUAACGCUCGAAUAUAUGACAAGAAUUUGUAAAGGUUUAUGAUGUUUUAAUGAAUUUUGGUUUUCUUUUAAAUUUCGGAUGAGAGACAUAAAUAAAACAGCA